AUGGCGAGCAGCGUCGCCGCCCAGCCGAGGAUGGCGCCCGCCGUCCUCCGCCUCUUCUUCCACGACUGCUUCAUCAACGGAUGUGAUGCUUCGGUUCUCCUCGACGCAACUCCCUUCUCCCCCAGCGAGAAGGAUGUGGAGCCGAACGCCUCCCUCACCGGCUACGCCGUCAUCGACGACAUCAAGUCCGCGCUCGAGCACGACUGCCCGGCCACCGUCUCCUGCGCCGACGUCAUCGCCCUCGCGUCCCGUGACGCCGUCGCCCUGCUCGGAGGUCCAACCUGGAGCGUGCCCCUCGGCCGCAAGGACUCGCGCUUCGCCGCCGACCCGGAAUCCACCAAGAACGGCCUUCCCAGCCCGCACGACGACCUCGGCGAGCUCAUCAGAAUGUUUUCAAGGCUCAACCUUGACGCUCGUGACAUGACUGCGCUCUCCGGUGCCCACACCGUCGGGAUGGCCAGCUGCAAGACCUACAGAGACCGCGUCUACGGCACCGACCGCGAUGAGGAGAUCGACCCAUACUUCGCACAGACCACGCAGCAGACGUGCCAAGGUCCUUCUGGUAAGGCGCCGUUUGACGUGCAGACGCCCAUGAGGUUCGACAACGCUUAG
rnacentral:rRNA from 1 species